rnacentral:rRNA from 1 species
AUUGAACGCUGGCGGCAUGCCUAACACAUGCAAGUCGAACGAGUGGCGGACGGGUGAGUAAUGUCUGGGAAACUGCCCGCUGGAGGGGGAUAACUGCUGGAAACGGUAGCUAAUACCGCAUACUAUCGUAUGUGCCCAGAUGGGAUUAGCUAGUGGGUGGGGUAACGGCUCACCUAGGCGACGCUCCCUAGCUGGUCUGAGAGGAGGACCAGCAACACUGGAACUGAGACACGGUCAGGACGCCUACGGGAGGCAGAAGUGGGGAAUAUUGGACAAUGGGCGAAAGCCUGAUGCAGCAAGGCCGCGUGUAGGAGGAAGGCCUUCGGGUUGUAAAGUACGUUCAGCGGGGAGGCGGUACUCGAAGAGGAAGCACCGGCUAACUCCGUGCCAGCAGCCGCGGUAAUAC